rnacentral:rRNA from 1 species
AGUCGAACGGAGCUUAGAGAGCUUGCUUUUUAAGCUUAGUGGCGAACGGGUGAGUAACGCGUGAGUAACCUGCCCUAGAGUGGGGGACAACAGUUGGAAACGACUGCUAAUACCGCAUAAGCCCACGGUACCGCAUGGUACUGAGGGAAAAGGAUUUAUUCGCUUUAGGAUGGACUCGCGUCCAAUUAGCUAGUUGGUGAGGUAACGGCCCACCAAGGCGACGAUUGGUAGCCGGACUGAGAGGUUGAACGGCCACAUUGGGACUGAGACACGGCCCAGACUCCUACGGGAGGCAGCAGUGGGGGAUAUUGCACAAUGGGGGAAACCCUGAUGCAGCGACGCCGCGUGGAGGAAGAAGGUUUUCGGAUUGUAAACUCCUGUCGUUAGGGACGAUAAUGACGGUACCUAACAAGAAAGCACCGGCUAACUACGUGCCAGCAGCCGCGGUAAAACGUAGGGUGCAAGCGUUGUCCGGAAUUACUGGGUGUAAAGGGAGCGCAGGCGGGAAGACAAGUUGGAAGUGAAAACCAUGGGCUCAACCCAUGAAUUGCUUUCAAAACUGUUUUUCUUGAGUAGUGCAGAGGUAGAUGGAAUUCCCGGUGUAGCGGUGGAAUGCGUAGAUAUCGGGAGGAACACCAGUGGCGAAGGCGGUCUACUGGGCACCAACUGACGCUGAGGCUCGAAAGCAUGGGUAGCAAACAGGAUUAGAUACCCUGGUAGUCCAUGCCGUAAACGAUGAUUACUAGGUGUUGGGGGAUUGACCCCCUCAGUGCCGCAGUUAACACAAUA